CCUUAACUGCCUGAUUGCCACUGUGAAGCUCAGGAAUUUCCUUACGCUGACUUUCCUGCAUGGCAAAGGCACAGGACUGAUUCCUUCCCUGCUGAAACAGCAAAUCCAGGAGACAGACAGGAGGGUUAGGCUCAUUCACCGCCGCCGCUGUCGCCGCCGGUCCUAAGAUUAUUAUCAUUAAGAGGAGGCUAAUAAAUUGAUUCCACGGCUGUAAAUACUGCGGAGAAGAGACAGAGCUCGGGCCUGUCAGGG
rnacentral:lncRNA from 1 species